GUUAAAGCAUUGAUCAAGAGAGUAGUCGAUUAGGACGUUUCAGAAAGAGAAUUGUUAAUGGAAGAUUCUUACGUCUUAAUAAGAUGAAAGUAGCUUGUGAGCUGAUCGUUCGAUAGAAAUUGAGAGCGAGCCGGUACUAUCUGACCGUUAUCAGGAUACUGAGUGGGGGUUAAAUACCCAAUUUAGGUGGUACCGCGAAAACACUUCGUCCUAAUA
rnacentral:ncRNA from 1 species